rnacentral:tRNA from 1 species
GGUAGUGUGGCCGAGUGGUCUAAGGUGCUGGAUUUAGGCUCCAGUCUCAAAAGAGGCGUGGGUUAAAUCCCACCACUGCCA